GACGAACGCUGGCGGCGUGCUUAACACAUGCAAGUCGAACGGAAAGGCCCUGCUUUUGGGGGGUGCUCGAGUGGCGAACGGGUGAGUAACACGUGAGUAACCUGCCCUUGACUUUGGGAUAACUUCAGGAAACUGGGGCUAAUACCGGAUAGGAGCUCCUGCUGCAUGGGGGGGGUUGGAAAGUUUCGGCGGUUGGGGAUGGACUCGCGGCUUAUCAGCUUGUUGGUGGGGUAGUGGCUUACCAAGGCUUUGACGGGUAGCCGGCCUGAGAGGGUGACCGGCCACAUUGGGACUGCGAUACGGCCCAGACUCCUACGGGAGGCAGCAGUGGGGAAUAUUGCACAAUGGGCGGAAGCCUGAUGCAGCAACGCCGCGUGCGGGAUGACGGCCUUCGGGUUGUAAACCGCUUUCGCCUGUGACGAAGCGUGAGUGACGGUAAUGGGUAAAGAAGCACCGGCUAACUACGUG
rnacentral:rRNA from 1 species